rnacentral:rRNA from 1 species
AGAGUUUGAUCCUGGCUCAGGAUGAACGCUAGCUACAGGCUUAACACAUGCAAGUCGAGGGGAAACGACAUCGAAAGCUUGCUUUUGAUGGGCGUCGACCGGCGCACGGGUGAGUAACGCGUAUCCAACCUGCCCAUCACUUGGGGAUAACCUUGCGAAAGUAAGACUAAUACCCAAUGAUAUCUCUAGAAGACAUCUGAAAGAGAUUAAAGAUUUAUCGGUGAUGGAUGGGGAUGCGUCUGAUUAGCUUGUUGGGCGGGGUAACGGCCCACCAAGGCUACGAUCAGGUAGGGGUUCUGAGGAGGAGGUCCCCCACAUUGGAACUGAGACACGGUCCAAACUCCUACGGGAGGCA